rnacentral:tRNA from 1 species
AGUAAUGUGCCCGAUUUUUAAGGAUUACAGUGAUAAAGUAAAUUAAGUAUAACAAUUUUAUACCUUUACUA